GACGAACGCUGGCGGCGUGCUUAACACAUGCAAGUCGAGCGGUAAGGCCCUUUCGGGGGUACACGAGCGGCGAACGGGUGAGUAACACGUGGGUGACCUGCCCUCAGCUCUGGGAUAAGCCUGGGAAACUGGGUCUAAUACUGGACAUGACUCCACGGUGCAUGUCGUGGGGUGGAAAGCCUUGUGCGGCUGAGGAUGGGCCCGCGGCCUAUCAGCUUGUUGGUGGGGUGAGGCCUACCAAGGCGACGACGGGUAGCCGGCCUGAGAGGGCGACCGGCCACACUGGGACUGAGACACGGCCCAGACUCCUACGGGAGGCAGCAGUGGGGAAUCUUGCGCAAUGGGCGAAAGCCUGACGCAGCGACGCCGCGUGAGGGAUGACGGCCU
rnacentral:rRNA from 1 species